rnacentral:rRNA from 1 species
UACAGAGGGUGCAAGCGUUGUUCGGAAUUAUUGGGCGUAAAGGGAGUGUAGGCGGUGAGUUAAGUCUUCUGUGAAAUCUACGGGCUUAGCCUGUAACGUGCAGAGGAAACUGGCUGACUUGAGUAUCGGAGAGGGCAGGGGAAUACCCAGUGUAGAGGUGAAAUUCGUAGAUAUUCGGAAGAACACCAGUGGCGAAGGCGGCUCACUGGCCCGGUACUGACGCUGAGGUGCGAAAGCGUGGGGAGCAAACAGG